GUCUUUGAGCGGUGGAUCACUUGACUCAUUUGUCAAUGAAAAACACAGCUAGCUGCAAGAACUAAUGUGAAUUGCAGAACACAUUGUUCAUCGACACUUUGAAAGCACUUUGCGGCCCUGGGUUACUCCCAGGGCUAUGCCUGUCUGAGGGUCA